rnacentral:ncRNA from 1 species
GAAUAGAGGUGCAUCAGCCGAAAAGUACUCCGCUGGAGGCCCCGGGCCACGGAAAGCGGAGGAAAGGCGGCGAUGCCGAAGGUACUCCGUUGCCGGGAAGCGGUGCACCUGGCCGUACGGUGAACAGCCGUCCGGUUGCCAUCAGCCGUUGAUGGAGCGCUAUUCU